rnacentral:lncRNA from 1 species
CAGGGGUAUCAUCAAGAAGAAACCUGUACGUGACAUCGUAUUGGGUGAUCGAAGAGUUUCGAUCUCGCGAUGACAUACGCAUUGAACAAAUCAAAUCGCUUGACAUGAUUCUACGUUACCCUAAAGAGACGAUGACAACUGUUUCGAAGAAGAAAAGACCGGCCAGGGAUAAAUUUGGGUUUUGUUAAGUUUGGUCUUGGUAAUGGAAUCAGCCAUAGAAGCAACCCUACAGGCUACAAGUCUGCAACCUCGUUGUCAAAAGAUUGGAUUUUAAUAAAUGAAGCAAGAACUACCCGUUAAAUGACAUAUUUGUAAAAUGAUUUGAAGUAUAAGGGUAAAAUAAUAAUAAUAAUAAAAUAAUAGG